rnacentral:sRNA from 1 species
AUAGCCACUCGUACACCCCGGUUCCUCCGUGCCGUCCGCACCACCUGUGGACUGCUCGCUACGUUUUGUUAGCC